GGAAUUUUGCGCAAUGGGCGAAAGCCUGACGCAGCAACGCCGCGUGAGGGAUGAAGGCCUUCGGGUUGUAAACCUCUUUUCUCAGGGACGAUGAUGACGGUACCUGAGGAAUAAGCCACGGCUAACUACGUGCCAGCAGCCGCGGUAAUACGUAGGUGGCAAGCGUUGUCUGGAUUUACUGGGCGUAAAGAGCGCGCAGGCGGUCAAUCAAGUCGAGUGUGAAAGCCCCCGGCUCAACUGGGGAGGGUCACUUGAUACUGUUUGACUCGAAGGCGGGAGAGGGAAGUGGAAUUCCCGGUGUAGUGGUGAAAUGCGUAGAUAUCGGGAGGAACACCAGUGGCGAAGGCGACUUCCUGGCCCGUUCUUGACGCUGAGGCGCGAAAGCUAGGGGAGCAAA
rnacentral:rRNA from 1 species